CCAGACUCCUACGGGAGGCAGCAGUGAGGAAUAUUGGUCAAUGGGCGCGAGCCUGAACCAGCCAAGUCGCGUGAGGGAUGACGGCCCUACGGGUUGUAAACCUCUUUUGCCGGGGAGCAACGGGCGCCACGUGUGGCGCCACUGAGAGUACCCGGAGAAAAAGCAUCGGCUAACUCCGUGCCAGCAGCCGCGGUAUUACGGAGGAUGCGAGCGUUAUCCGGGUUUUUUGGGUUUAAAGGGUGCGCAGGGGGGAGGAUCAAGUCAGGGGUAAAAUGGGGGGGCCCAACCUCUGCGAGCCGUUGAAACUGGUUGUCUUGAGUGGGCGAGAAGUAUGCGGAAUGCGUGGUGUAGCGGUGAAAUGCAUAGAUAUCGCGCAGAACUCCGAUUGCGAAGGCAGCAUACCGGCGCUCAACUGACGCUGAUGCACGAAAGUGUGGGUAUCGAACAGGAUUAGAUACCCCAGUA
rnacentral:rRNA from 1 species